GAUAUAAGACAUGUUUAUAUUUUUUUGAUUAUUGUUUACAAUUCAAAUUCAUUUUAGAGUGGCACCAACAGUAGAUGGUAGAAAUUAUUUUUGAUUUUUUGGAAAGUAAUCAAAUUUUGCAACACUAAAACAGUAAAUGGUAGAAACCUUUCAUCCUGGAACUGCUGUAUAAUAUUCCAGAUAUUGUUUGUUCAAGCUUUUUUUUCAAGAAUUACGCAGGGUUUUGUCUAUAUCUUGGUAAAGUUGUAAUUUAAACUGAUGGUGGAACUGCUUCUGAAUGGACUUAAAGCCAAUGCGAAAGAUUGAAGAAGGGAUUGCUACGGUGGUGAGGAAGGAAAUGAAGCAGCAGGCGAUGGUGACAUUAAUGGGGAUUGCUUAAAGGUAACCGCUGGAAUUAGGUUGAGAAGUGGCCGGAAUUAGCUUCACCGGAAUAGUUUUGGGGUAGAAUAUUGUCCUCGUCUUCAUCUUUUUCUUCCAACCCUCAGAUUUGAAGACAACCCAAUUAAUAGUUUUAUGGUCAGCUCUCCAUCGCCGAUGCUCUUGCCGCAUAUUUUCGGCAUGCGUGGUUUUAGUGUCAGCCACCCCUAUAUCUAUACAUCCACCAUCACCACCAUAACAAGAAAUAAGGACCGUUGUUGUAGUGCAUCUUUGUUGGUUGACUUCGUUUUGUCAUGGAUUGGAGUUUUUAUGGUUUUGUGAA